ACUCUUCUUCCUAAGAAGAACCUCAGUCUUGAAUACUUCGAUCAACUCCUUGAUCAAGACUGCAGGAUCAACUCCUUGAUUAGCAGUCUUCUUCUUCUUCUUCUUAAUCUUCAAUCUCUAAGUCACCAACACUUCUUUUUGGCAUGUGGAGGAGGGAUACCCAACUUUUGGGCAUGGAAAGGAAGAGAGGGAGGAGAGGAGGCAUGGAGAGGG
rnacentral:lncRNA from 1 species